UAAAAAAACAACUUUAUUUUGAAAAUUCAGGAAAGUUUCUGAGCUUUUAUCAAUAUUUUCUGUUUUAAAGUGAACAAAAAAACGUUUUGAGCGUUAUAAAAAUCUGACUUCAUGCAUAUUUUGUGGUUUGGAUCAGAGGAAUGUCAAGAUGACCACCUUCACUUUCUCAAACUGUAGCUUCAGAUCCUCCUUUCAAACAGACAGAAAUUUCUGUUUUCACUGCCUUCAAUUGUGUCAUCUUCAUGAACCGUGACCGACUGCAGUGACCGAGCUCUCAGAGCUUCAAGAGAGGAUCCAGAAGGAUCAGCAGCUGAAUCCGGUUUGAGAUCGGAGGAAGGUGAAAGAAGACGUGCCAUGCUUCAAUCCUGAGGUGCAGAAAGAUGCAUCAGCCAGGAAGAGGCGGAGUCAUCCCUGACCAGAGUUCACUUCCUCCCACAUUCAUCCCUGCGUCUCCUAUUCAGCCUCAGCACCGAGCGGCGCUCACCGACACGCUGGAGGACGACGUUUGCAGGGAGAAAGAAAGACAGAAUGGGGCGAGGGGGGGGGGGUCUUCUGCAAACAGGUCAAAGGUCGGGGGCCCUUAAACCAACACUUGGCCCUCUGAAGCCUGAAGCUUUUACCUCUCCGGGAGAAUGGGCUGGAUUCAAGAGCGGCUCUAAUUAAUGGUGACGGACACGCCUGAAAGGGAGAGGCCGCCGACACAAUCCAGACACUUAGUGAGGGCCGCGGGCCUUCAGCCGCAGACCCGCGCAGCGCCAGAAUCAUUAAACCUGCAGAUUAACUCUUGCUUUUUUCCUGCGUUGGAUCAAGACCCGACUCUUCAGCCGGACAAUGGAGUGCUCUUCACACGGUGGAGCGGGAACCGCUGACAUGUGACUCGCUUGUUCCGGCUGACAAAGGUUUCAGUCCUCUGAAAUCUGCAGAUAUUUAACCAUUUCAACGAUCAGUACGGUGGCCCUGAGGGUUCAAUCCUUUAUUUUUAAGUUUAUGCUCCUCUUUAGCGCCUCCCAUAGGUUUUAUUUUUUAAAGCUCCACACCUGUAAAUACUGUCUCAUCUCACUUAAUGUUACUUUAUGCAACACGUCCAGCAAACGUUCAGAAAAUGAACUUUUUCACGGUGACGUCAGACGAAACGGCGACCUCCGGU